rnacentral:misc_RNA from 1 species
GAUGAAGAACGUAGCGAAAUGCGAUAAGUAAUGCGAAUUGCAGAAUUCCGUGAGUCAUCGAAUCUUUGAACGCACAUUGCGCCCUCUGGUAUUCCGGAGGGCAUGCCUGUCUGAGCGUCAUUGUCAACCCUCAAGCUCAGCUUGCUGUUGGGUCCCCGUCGUUGCUUUAACGGCUGACCCGAAAGGUAAUGGCAGAGUCCGUGAGACCCUAGACGCAGCGAGCUUCUAGCACGCGUCUGGACGUUUUUCGGGCUCGGUCUUAACUAGAUGAUAACUUCCGAUUGACCUCAGAUCAGGUAGGGAUACCCGCUGAACUUAAGCAUAUCAAUAAGCGGAGGA